ACUCCCCCUAGGGGGAGUCAAAUCCUACCAAAUCCUGACGAACUCCGAAUGCCAACAUAUAGAACCGGCAGUGAGGGCUGGGGUGCUAAGGUCCCAGUCCGAGAGGGAAAGAACCCAGACCUUCCGCUAAGGUCCCCAAAUUUAGGUUAAGUUGAACAAAGGUGGUCCAGUUGCAGAGACAGCCAGGAGGUUAGCUUGGAAGCAGCUAUUCCUUUAAAGAGUGCGUAACAGCUCACUGGUCGAGCGACAGGGCGUCGAUAAUAAUCGGGCAUCAAACCUAAUACCGAAGCGAAGGAUUGCAGCAAUGCAGUGGUAGGGGAGCAUUCCAAAGACGGCGAAGGUAUCUCGUAAGGGGUGCUGGAGACUUUGGAAAAGCAAAUGUAGGCAUAAGUAACGAUAAGGCGGGCGAGAAACCCGCCCACCGUAAGACCCAGGUUUCCUGAUCAACGUUAAUCGGAUCAGGGUUAGUCGGGGCCUAAGGCGAACCCGAAUGGGGUAGUCGAUGGACAAUGGGUUAAUAUUCCCAUACUAUUUAUACAGGUGAUGGAGUGACGGAGUGAUGAAAGAUCCGCCCGGUGACGGAAUACCGGGUUAAAGCGAGUAGGUAUUAGUUCCGUAGUUAAAUGCGCUGGACUAGCCGAACGUGAUAGUACCGAGCGUCUUCGGACAAUUGGAUAGUGAUCCUAAGGGCUUCCAAGAAAAACUUCUAGCGUUAAGCGUAUAGAUACCCGUACCGCAAACCGACACAGGUGGUCGAGGAGAGAAUCCUAAGGUGCUCGAGUGAAUCAUGGCUAAGGAACUCGGCAAAAUGACCCCGUAACUUCGGGAGAAGGGGUUCCCACGCAAGUGGGACGCAGUGAAAAGGCCCAGGCGACUGUUUAACAAAAACACAUGGCUUUGCAAAAUCGAAAGAUGAAGUAUAAGGCCUGACACCUGCCCGGUGCUGGAAGGUUAAGAGGAGAUGUUAGUUUCGGCGAAGCAUUGAAUUGAAGCCCCAGUAAACGGCGGCCGUAACUAUAACGGUCCUAAGGUAGCGAAAUUCCUUGUCGGGUAAGUUCCGACCUGCACGAAUGGUGUAACGAUCUGGGUACUGUCUCAGCCAUGAGCUCGGUGAAAUUGUAGUAUCGGUGAAGAUGCCGAUUACCCGCAACGGGACGAAAAGACCCCGUGAACCUUUACUAUAGCUUCACAUUGACAUUGGGUAAUUCAUGUGUAGGAUAGGUGGGAGACGUUGAGGCUGCAUCGCCAGGUGUAGUUUAGUCGUCCUUGAAAUACCACCCUUGAAUUAUCUGAUGUCUAAUCCGCUAAAGUCGGAGACAUUGUGUGGUGGGUAGUUUGACUGGGGUGGUCGCCUCCAAAAGAGUAACGGAGGCUCCUAAAGGUACCCUCAGCACGCUUGGUAACCGUGCGUAGAGUGUAAUGGCAUAAGGGUGCUUGACUGAGAGACCGACAAGUCGAUCAGGUAGGAAACUAGAGCAUAGUGAUCCGGUGGUUCCGCAUGGAAGGGCCAUCGCUCAAAGGAUAAAAGGUACUCCGGGGAUAACAGGCUGAUCACUCCCAAGAGCUCACAUCGACGGAGUGGUUUGGCACCUCGAUGUCGGCUCGUCACAUCCUGGGGCUGGAGAAGGUCCCAAGGGUUCGGCUGUUCGCCGAUUAAAGUGGCACGCGAGCUGGGUUCAGAACGUCGUGAGACAGUUCGGUCCCUAUCUGUGAUGGGCGUUAGAGAUUUGAGGGGCGCUGACUCUAGUACGAGAGGACCGAGUCGGACGUACCGCUAGUGUACCAGUUGUAGCGCCAGCUGCACCGCUGGGUAGCUAUGUACGGAUGAGAUAAGCGCUGAAAGCAUCUAAGUGCGAAACUCACCUCAAGAUAAGAUCUCUUUAUAAGGGUUGU
rnacentral:rRNA from 1 species